CCCCUAGAUGUUCUGGGCCGCACGCGCGCUACACUGAACAGUUCAACAAGUCUUAACCUUGGCCGAUAGGUCUGGGUAAUCUUUGCACGCUGUUCGUGAUUGGGAUAGACCUUUGCAAUUAUGGGUCUUCAACGAGGAAUUCCUAGUAAACGCAAGUCAUCAGCUUGCAUUGAUUACGUCCCUGCCCUUUGUACACACCGCCCGUCGCACCUACCGAUUGAAUGGUCCGGUGAAAUCUCGGGACGGCGGCUUGGUCGCUUGCGUCCGACUGCUGAAACUUGAUUAAACCAUAUCAUUUAGAGGAAGGUGAAGUCGUAACA
rnacentral:rRNA from 1 species